GUUUUCUAUUUUAGCUACAAGUCCUCCAGCUCAACAGGAUUACACAGAGGAAUCAGAGUCUGACAAGACAGAUUCUCCUGCCGCAUCCAUUAUGGUCCAAAUGGAGCAGAUGUGUAUUGCAUCACAUACCUGAAGAAUCCAAUAACUGUAAAAGUCAUUAAAGUGUAAAUCACAAUAAAGUGUAAAUCACAAUAAAGUGUAAAUCACAUUUUCACAUUGAAAAGAAAUCAAUGUUAGUUACAUUAAGAGAUUAAUGAUAUCGCAUCUUUGAUAGCAAUGUUUAAUAAAAAAGUUUAAAAAUAAAAGUUAUUUAUAUAAGACGAAAAACAAACAAAUACAUAUAGACCUAUAUACACACUGUAAGACUAUGGCUAUAGAUUGUAAAAAUAAUAGAAGAUUGAAGGUCAGUAAAUAAUCACAGUAUUAUGAGACAUGUUGUUGUUUACUGCAGAAGUUCCCAUCCUCAACAUUUCUGUGUAUCUACUGUAUUAUAGACUGACAGAUACAGAGCUACACAUAUAGAUAGGCAAAAUAAUUAUCAUUAUAAAUGAGAAAUAAAAAGAAUUUCCUUAAACGAAUGUCUGUACAAAACGCUUCACUCUCACUACCUCGUGGACGAACACUAAAACGCUCCGAACCACAAGCUGCAAAAUCUCACCUCCUUAUUUUUGACAUAAUAAUCUCGUUAUUUCUGACUUGUGGAUUUUAUCCCGUUUUAUUAUUUCAGGUUUAUAUACAGUAACAGUGUGUUAUAGAAGUCACAGCUUUUAUUUUAAUGUGCUCGUUCGUAUUAGAUCUGCACAGAUCAACACCUUCUGACCAAUCACAAUCCAGAAUUCAGCAGCUUUAGAGGUUAUCCUCCAUCAAGGUAAAAAGUUAUAAAACACAACAUAUCUUUUUAAAAAUGUUUUAU